CGCUGCUGCCCUGGCGACG
rnacentral:misc_RNA from 1 species